CUGCUGAAAAGUUGCUAUUUUGCUAAAUCUAAAUACUUGUCUUCAUUUCCUUUAAUGACCUUGAUUUCCAGGUCUUGACUGUGUCCAGCAUUGUUGUUCUGCUGGAUGAGAAUGUAUAUGAUGUUUUAUCAUUGAUUUUGGUUAUUUUUGUGACUGUCUGGUUGAGAUUUUCCUUUGUGAAGGACAGGAAAUACAUCCAUUUGGUCUCUAGCUGCAGACAUUGCUCUGUCAGAUGAAUCUUCUUCUCAUACAUUUUGGCAUUGAGGUGUCUAGUUCUCUGACAUCUUCUGAGCAGAUUGCUUGUUGGUGAGGAGUUUGAUUCCUUCUUGUCUGUUGAGCAUUCCUCAUUGAUGUCAUUGUGUGCCUUCUAUGGUUAAGAAAUGUUAAUAUUGAAUUUCCUUUGAAAUCAGUGAAUUGUCUCAUUAAAUCUACCAGAUGGGAAAGUUCGGAAAGAUCUAGCAUAUCAG
rnacentral:sRNA from 1 species